UAUAGUCCAAUGGAAGAGAAUAAAAAGCACAGAAAUAAACCCAUGCAUAUAUGGUCAACUAAUUUUUGACAAGGGUGCCAAGAACACAUAAUAGUGAAAGAAAAGUCUCUUCAAUAAAUGGUGUUGGGACAGCUGGAUAUCCACGUGCAGAAGAAUGAAAUUAGACCUGUAUCUCACACCAUAAACAAAAAUUAACUCAAAAUGCAUAAAAGACUUAAGUGUAAGACCUGAAUCACCUGUUAGUCUAUUUACUUCCAAUUUUGUUAUUUUCCUAUAUAUUUUUAUGUAUGUGUAUGUGUGUAUUUUCUUUAAAAAUAUAUACUCAUACUGUAUCUAUUGCCUUGUCACCUAAUUCUACUUCUCUGCUUUGCAUUAUAGUAUAAGUGUCUUCAAAUGGUUCCAUGUUUUGAAAGCAUAAUUUGUAAUGGUAGAAUCAUAUUCUCUUCUACCAUAAAUUAUUUAACCAUUUUUUCAACUGUUGGACAUUAAUGCUCUUUCCAAUUUUUCACUAUUUUAAAUAACGCUAAAAUGAGUAACAUCAACAUGGUACAUAAAUAUUUAACCACAACUCUGAUCAUUCUGUAACAUUUAUGCAUUCCUAGGAGUCCUUCGAGUAGGUUAAAAAAAAAAACUCAGACUCUAAAAACACUCUAAGUUAAAAGUUGUGCUCUACUACUAACUACAGCUGUGGUGUACUUAGGCAGUUACGUAGCCCUUCUAAGCCUCAGGAAUACAUAAAAAGAGAGGACAUUUCUAGGUAUGCAUAGUUAUGAGUACAAGCUUACAAUUAUGUUAUAUAAUUAAAUAAAAUAAAAAUAGUAAAUAGAUCAUGCCAGUAUCUGCAUGCUGUACCAGUCCUUGUUUAAAAUACCAGGACACCUAUUCUUAGUGCAGUAGAAACA
rnacentral:lncRNA from 1 species